UGUAGUGAGAGGUGUUUUGAAAUAGAAGAGAGGGUACAUAUUUGAGCAUAUGUAGAGCCCAGGUACCUCGCUCUACAACAUCAAGGAUUAUCUCGUCAUUCAUAAGAGUUAAAGGCAUUUUCUUCAGUCUUUCACUAUUAAGACACAAUUUCAUGCUGCAAAGAUAUUCAAUUGAUGAUAUUGAUGACGAUAUAUAAGGGAUAUCACUCUUGAGCCACAUAAGCUUGAUGAAGAGAUUGUUGAAUCUAAUCUUGAGCUUGAAGCAAACUUCGUACAGUAUAACUAUGAUGAUCGACCACAAAAGAUGGGAAAUGGACAGAAACAGUGAACAUGAAGAAGGGUGUGCUAGAUGGAAAGGAAACCGGUCAAGCUGAUCGAAUAAGAAGUCUCUUAACUACUCCAAAUCCAUCCAUGAAAUGGAGAAGAUUAAUGCUAAGCCACUUCAAAAAAAAGGUUGGGUCUAGUCAUUGUUGUCUCUAUACUAGCAAAGGGAAUGCGGAGAUACAUCUCGAGAAGAAAAAGGCAAUGAUAUGGAGGUGUUUUGUCUUUCAUUGAUAAAAAAUUAGAAAUGAGUAGGUGAUGAAUGUCACAUGAAUAUAUUUAUCUAUUUCAAAUUGAAACCAACUUUGUUAUUGUACUGGCUUUUGUUCAUAAUAAAAACACAGAAGGUAAUGGAAAAUCUACAUGCAAAUGUUUUGCUAAAGCUUUGAUUCAUACCUUUUUUGUCUUUGAUGAUCUGAUUGUGACUAUUCCUCUUCUUUUUUUCACUUUUUUCUUCCUCAAGCUGGGUCUGGGUUAGCUAUACGUCUGAGCGGUCACUUUCCUUUUUUAUAUAUGUGCGCUGUUGUGACUCUUCCUCUUCUUUGUUGUGACUCUUCCUCUUCUUUCUCUAUUUCUACUUUUUUUCUUACCUUUAUCUUCCUUAUGUGGGUUCCACUCUGGCCGACAUGCGCACGCACCUUCUUUUUUAUAUAGCUUUAGACCCUUUUAGCAUUUGCCACGUUUCAGUUUCUGGAGAUUUCUGGAGGGACCCUUGCUAUAUGGAUGUUAUCUGACGGAUGACAUUAUAUCAAAGAACAGAUCAACGGUAUAUAGAUAUCAUGGUGACGUGGAUGCUCUCCUCAGCGGCGAAAGUGCGCUGCUUUCGUUUUAAAAGAUUGGAGACAAUACUUGUCCUAAGGCGGUCUCUAGCAACGUCCUCUAAACUUUACUCACUAAAAAAAUAUUCUUUGUCCUUUACAACACCAUCUAAAAGAUUCUGUCAUCUAUAUCUUCUUUAUAUCUAGCAGUGUUUUCUAAAUUUCAUCCUCUAUAUCACAUAAUCUAUAACAAAAUAUUUUUUCAAAUAAACCUAUACUAUUAAACAAAGGGCUUAACAUCAGUACAUGGCUACUCUUGCUUUUUAAGCAGGACAUCCAGAGCAGGGUUGCUGCACGCUGAUUUGAGCAUAACGAUCAAACACCUUCUAUACGCGUCCUCUCUAGCAUCGCCUCCACUACUAGUUGUCACACUAGGUCUGUUGCACGAUUGGCUUGUUCAAGUCGCGACCGCGUUCCAUACCAGUGCUCCGUCGUGGCUGCGCGUAGCUCGUGUGGUCGGUGACUUGGCGAAGUGAAUGACCGUGGAGAAGAUGGCCGGCCGGCGAGUGGCAGUCAAAACUCGGAAACGGUGUAGCGAUUCGACGAGGAACAGUGUGCCGCUGCGUGGAUAGAGGACACACAGUGAACCACCAGCGGCUGGCAUAGACGAACACUGUCUUAGCGGACGCGAUAGCGAGCGUUGUUGGACGCCUUACGGACACUAAAUUUAACAUACCGGACGUUUUAGCGUCCGUUGCUUGAGAUAGCCUAACCCUUGACCCUGAACCAAACAACCUUACCUGAAGGUCAUCUCAUUUCGUCCUGUUCCAUGGUUACAACUAAACACGCCCUAGCUUUCUACACUAGACCCGCAAACGAAUUCUGGCAAGUGUUCUAAAAAAUAUUAUCUUCAGUGGAGCGAAUGACGAGAGCCCAUAUACCGAAUUUCUUUUAAGACCUUGUUCGGGUUAUUCACAAUAUACAUGAAUUGGAUGGAAUUGAAAAAAAAAUUAAAAAACUUUGACUUACUUGAGAUUUAAACACAUUCAACCUCACUUAAUCCAUGUGUAUUGAGAGCUAACCGAAUAAGCUCUAACGGAUCGCCGUCCUCCUCUUUUGGCAUGGUGAACCAAAACCUGGAGACCCGUCCCGGUUGGUGACGCCGGUGAAAGGCAAGCAAGCAGUCGAGCCAGAGGGUAAAACGUUUCUGCGGCAAAGCGGCAAAACAGGGU